ACACAUUAUAAUUAAAUUGUUACACAACAUUUAAUUGGAGAGGGAGCUGAUCCUAUGGGUACAAUUAUUUGUCAGGAUUGUCAGGAGAUUAUUGAACACUUUGAAGGGGAAAAAGUAACAACACUGUAUGGCACAUGCCAGGGAUGUAACGCGGAAUAAAGAAAGCGCAUACUUAUUUGAGGAUUGCUUAUUAAAUAAUACAGACCCGCAUACUAAUGUAUGCGGGUCCUUUUAA
rnacentral:sRNA from 1 species